AGUUAUACAAACUCAUGUAAGUGCAUUUUCUAACAAGUAGGCCUUGACUUUAGCCAUAAAGAAAAAAUUGAAUUUUAAAGAUGCCAUAUUCAUAUCUGUUUGAAUAGAUUCAAAUGCAAUGCAAAUAGCAGCUGAAAUUAUGAAACAUACAAAUUCUGCUCCAAUCACUAAGAAAAGGCUUACUGUAGGUGAAAUAGAAGAUCUACACCAAGAACUGAGAACCGAAGAUCAUAUGAUUCCUUUGGAACAACUAUGUCAUAAAUUAAAUACUGAUGUUGAUAAUGGUUUAACAGAAGAAGAGGUGAGCAAGGUUUUCCAUAUAGUGGGACCAAAUGCUCUGACCCCACCUAAAGUAACUCCAGAAUACAUUAAAUUCAUUAAGUGUAUGUUUCAUGGAUUCGCUGGCCUGUUAUGGGGCUGUGCAUUUUUAUGCCUCAUUUUGUACGGACUCAGUAUGCUACUUGAAGGUACAGGUGGUGGCAUUGAAUGGUUGGGAGUUAUCAUUAUACUGAUUUGUUUACUCUCAGGAAUAUGUGCAUAUGUACAAGAAAGUAAAAAUACAAAAGUGAUGGAGUCAUUUAAAAAAAUGGUACCUACUUUUGCAACAGUAAUAAGAGGUGGUGUUAAACAACGUAUAGCAACUGAGGAGUUAGUCCCAGGGGAUCUAGUACAUAUUAAAUUCGGUGAUAAAAUACCAGCUGAUAUCAGGAUCAUAAAAUGUCAGGAGCUUAGAGUUGAAAACUCAAGCAUUACCGGUGAAAGUGAACCUGUAGUUCGAACAAAUUAUCCUACAGACGAAAAUCCCUUAGAAUCAUCUAAUGUCGCCUUUUUCUCAUCUUUUGCCGUGGAUGGAGAAGGAUACGGCAUAGUGAUAGCCACCGGUGAUAACACAAUGAUAGGACGACUCGCUGGUCUUACAUCUCAGCUUGAAAAAGAGGAUACACCAAUUGCUAAAGAAAUCGGACACUUUGUUCAAAUAAUCACCACUGUAGCUGUACUAUUUGGAACGCUAUUUUUUGUAUUAUCAUUGAUAAUUGAGCCCAAUAUCCUCAAAGCAUUUACUUAUAUGCUAGGUAUAGUGAUAGCCAAUGUUCCUGAAGUCUUGCUUGUCACCGUUACCACAAGUUUAACACUAACGGCACAAAAAAUGGCAGAAAAGAAUUGCUUAGUUAAAAACCUGGAAGCUGUUGAAACACUUGGAUCUACCUCAACCAUUUGUUCAGAUAAAACUGGAACUCUGACACAAAACAAAAUGAGUGUGUCUAAUUUAUGGUUCGGACACACAAGGUACCAUUUUCCGCCAGGCCAAAUAUUAGGCAUUGAGAAGCAUCUACUAUUGGAUAAACCAGCUUUUAACAUAAUGAUCAAAAACGCUACUCUUUGUUUACGCGCAGAAUUUGUUACGGAAUUCAUCUUAGUGAGCCCGAUAGAAGAACGAGAGAUACUCGGUGACGCAUCUGAAACAGGUAUCCUCAGAUUCUGUGAACAUAUACACUCUACAGAGAAGUUCAGAGAAGCCCACCCAAAGGUUGCAGAAAUACCAUUCAACUCUGUAACCAAGUACCAAAUGUCCAUUCAUCAGGAUGAAGAUGGAUAUACAAUGAUUUUGAAAGGUGCACCAGAAAUAAUCCUGGAAAAAUGCUCCCAUAUAUUAAAUUCUGAUGGAGAAACAAAAGAGGUGACUCCACUGGAUCUGACAAUUUCUCGAAGAGCCUGUGCAGAGUUAGGAUAUAUCGGUGAACGUGUAUUAGCUUAUUGUGAUCUUCAUUUGCCUGCCAGUAAAUAUGGUGUAGACUUCAAGUUCAAUACUGACUCUGCAAGUACAUACAACUUCCCAACAAAGGGUUACAGGUUCGUUGGACUAAUUAGUCUCCUUGAUCCUCCGAGACCAGCUGUGCCCGAUGCUGUCAAAAAGUGUCGUACAGCUGGUAUCAAAGUAAUAAUGGUAACAGGUGAUCAUCCAGUGACAGCAAUGGCAAUAGCAAAAAAGGUGGGCAUCAUAGGCGAAGGUCAUGAAACUAAAUACGAACGAGCAAUAUUACAAAAUAAAUCAUACACUCAAAUAACUGAUGAUGACAGCGACGCCAUAAUCAUUACUGGUUCUGAACUGAGAAACAUGGACACAAAAGAAUUGGAUCGCGUUAUACGAAACUAUCAGGAAAUAGUUUUCGCGAGAACAUCUCCACAACAGAAAUUACUCAUCGUAGAAAGUUGUCAACGACUAGGGGAGAUUGUCGCAGUAACUGGUGAUGGAGUCAAUGAUUCACCAGCAUUGAGGAAAGCGGACAUCGGUGUGGCUAUGGGCAUAACUGGCUCCGACGUGGCGAAAAACGCAGCCGACAUGAUUCUUAUGGAUGAUAAUUUUGCAUCUAUUGUAACUGGAAUUGAAGAAGUUGCACACGUGACGUCUUUUCCUUUCAAAUCGUGCUGUUGAGAGAACGCAAUGGGACGUUAUUCGCAUGAACCGGUGAAUGCGACCAAAUCGUGCAAAGCGCGAGGCUCGAAUUUGCGAGUGCACUUCAAGAACACUCAUGAAACAGCACGAGCUAUUAAGAAUAUGCCCUUGCGGAGGGCACAGAGAUACUUGAAGAAU
rnacentral:misc_RNA from 1 species